rnacentral:ncRNA from 1 species
CCUGGCAACAGGAACGACCAUAAAGAAGCCGUCGAGAGAUAUCGGAAGAGUUUUCUUUUCUGUUUUAUAGUCGUACUACCAUGGAAGUCUUUCGAAGAGAGAUAUGGUAGAUGGGCUAGAAGAGCAUGACAUUUACUGUUGUGUCGAUAUUUUCUCCUCGGACCUUGAAAAUUUAUGG